rnacentral:rRNA from 1 species
UAACUAGGAUUUCCUUAGUAGCGGCGAGCGAACAGGAAUAAGCCCAGCACUGAAUCCCGCCGUUGUAACGGCGGCGGGAGAUGUGGUGUUCGGGAGGUUCCGCUUUCUUGUCGUAGUCCACUCCUGUCCAAGUUCGUCUUGAACGGGGCCCAUUUCCCAUAGAGGGUGCCAGGCCCGUAGCGACGGAGGACUGCGGCGAGAGGGACUCUCCUCAGAGUCGGGUUGCUUGAGAGUGCAGCCCUAAGUGGGUGGUAAACUCCAUCUAAGGCUAAAUAUUACCGCGAGACCGAUAGCGAACA